UGAUAGCUGUGAAGCGUGAGGUUGCUGCCUGCGGCCGAUGCCGGGCCUGGGGCAGGUUUUCCGCGGAGCGAAUGUCAGGGGCGCG
rnacentral:ncRNA from 1 species